rnacentral:rRNA from 1 species
UGGGGAAUAUUGGACAAUGGGCGAAAGCCUGAUCCAGCCAUGCCGCGUGUGUGAAGAAGGUCUUCGGAUUGUAAAGCACUUUAAGUUGGGAGGAAGGGCAGUAAGCGAAUACCUUGCUGUUUUGACGUUACCGACAGAAUAAGCACCGGCUAACUCUGUGCCAGCAGCCGCGGUAAUACAGAGGGUGCAAGCGUUAAUCGGAAUUACUGGGCGUAAAGCGCGCGUAGGUGGUUCGUUAAGUUGAAUGUGAAAGCCCCGGGCUCAACCUGGGAACUGCAUCCAAAACUGGCGAGCUAGAGUAGGGCAGAGGGUGGUGGAAUUUCCUGUGUAGCGGUGAAAUGCGUAGAUAUAGGAAGGAAAACCAGUGGCGAAGGCGACCACCUGGGCUCAUACUGACACUGAGGUGCGAAAGCGUGGGGAGGAAACAAG